GGAAAGUUGCAAAGCACUUUGAAGAGAGAGUUAAAGAGGACGUGAAACCGGUAGGAUGGAAACGGAUAGAGCCAGCGAAGUCGGCCGUAUUCAGCCAAAGGCCGUGGGUUCCGGUUUGUCAUGUUGCUAAUCACACGUGGCAGGCUUCUGGGCUUGCGGUUGAGGUGCAUUUGCGGUCGUUUGCGCUGAGACUUGCGGGACAGCUCCCUGACCCUUGUCUAGAGGCAAUCCUAUGGGUUGAACCUUGACGUAGCGAAGGUUGUUUGUUCUGCUCGUAUGGGCUUGGCCUACGGACUCAGGCUUGCCAGCUGUUGGCCAUGGUUGUUGAUCGCAUGCGAUCUCGACCUGGUUGGCUGUUGGUCGGUUUGACGUUCCCUAGCCGAUCUCGGUGUAGAAGCUGGUCAUCUAUCCGACCCGUCUUGAAACACGGACCAAGGAGUUUAGCGUAUACGCGAGCCAAUGGGUGUCAAACCUAAAGGCGCAAUGAAAAUGAAGGCCUAGUCGCUAGGCUUACAUGCGAGUGGCGGGUUUACCCCCGACAUGCAGCAUGGUCCCGUUCUGGUCGCUUGCGACGGAGCGGAGACAGAGCGUAUGCACUGAGACCCGAAAGAUGGUGAACUAUUCCUGAGCAGGACGAAGCCAGAGGAAACUCUGGUG
rnacentral:rRNA from 1 species